GGAUGAAAUAAGCUUGCUUAUUUCGUUAGUGGCGCACGGGUGAGUAAUGUAUAGCUAACCUGCCCUUUAGUGGGGGACAACAGUUGGAAACGACUGCUAAUACCCCAUACUCCUUCUUAUCAAAAGGUAAGUUGGGAAAGAUUUAUUGCUAAAGGAUGGGGCUUUAUGGUAUCAGCUAGUUGGUGGGGUAACGGCCUACCAAGGCUAUGACGCCUACCUGGUCUGAGAGGAUGAUCAGGCACACUGGAACUGAGACACGGUCCAGACUCCUACGGGAGGCAGCAGUGGGGAAUAUUGCACAAUGGGGGAAACCCUGAUGCAGCAACGCCGCGUGGAGGAUGACGCAUUUCGGUGUGUAAACUCCUUUUAUAAGGGAAGAUAAUGACGGUACCUUAUGAAUAAGCACCGGCUAACUCCGUGCCAGCAGCCGCGGUAAUACGGAGGGUGCAAGCGUUACUCGGAAUCACUGGGCGUAAAGGAUGCGUAGGCUGGAAAUCAAGUCGAGAGUGAAAUCCAACGGCUCAACCGUUGAACUGCUCUCGAAACUGGUUACCUAGAAUAUGGGAGAGGUAGAUGGAAUUGGUGGUGUAGGGGUAAAAUCCGUAGAUAUCACCAGGAAU
rnacentral:rRNA from 1 species